rnacentral:rRNA from 1 species
GUUGCAUGGCUGUCGUCAGCUCGUGUCGUGAGAUGUUCGGUUAAGUCCGCUAACGAGCGCAACCUCGUCGUAUGUUAUAUGUGUCAUACGAGACUGCCGGUAAAAAGCCGGAGGAAGGUGAGGAUGAUGUCAAGUCAGCAUGACCUUUAUAUCCAGGGCUACACACACGCUACAAUGGUCUGUACAAUGGGUAGCCAAGCCGCGAGGCGGAGCCAAUCCUCAAAGUCUGUCUCAGUUCAGAUUGUAGGCUGCAACUCGCCUGCAUGAAGUUGGAGUUGCUAGUAAACGCAGGUCAGCUAUACUGCGUUGAAUACGUUCCCGGGGUUU